UACGUAGGGCGCAAGCGUUGUCCGGAAUUAUUGGGCGUAAAGAGCUCGUAGGCGGUCUGUCGCGUCUGGUGUGAAAACUCAGGGCUUAACCCUGAGCUUGCAUCGGGUACGGGCAGACUAGAGUGUGGUAGGGGAGACUGGAAUUCCUGGUGUAGCGGUGAAAUGCGCAGAUAUCAGGAGGAACACCGAUGGCGAAGGCAGGGUCUCUGGGCCAUAACUGACGCUGAGAAGCGAAAGCAUGGGGAGCGAACAGGA
rnacentral:rRNA from 1 species